CAUUGAUUUCCUCUCUCAUAUCUCAAACUAGGACUAUAUCAUUUUGAAUAAAGUAUGCAUCUGGCACCGGCUCUUGGAUAGAACAAUAAAUAGAUAGAUCCAAGAACAAGGUGAAAUAAUACUGGAUUACAGGCAACCCUUGGUAUAAUCCUACAGUUAAGGCCGACCUUGUGUUCUCACACUAAACAUGACCUCCACGUACAUAUCCUAAAAUAAUGAUGAAAGAACUAAAAUAUACUAAAGAAAAUAAAUGAUGAAAUGAAAAAGUGAACCAAACCAAUACAAGAAUCACCUCAUCAUAACUUUUUCCUUGAAGCCUUGCCCUUUCUAGUCUUUCUUGCUUUAG
rnacentral:misc_RNA from 1 species